rnacentral:lncRNA from 1 species
CCAACUAUUGUAUCUAGUACUAACCAAUAAAUUAAAACAAGAGAAUUUACUCAUUUAGCAAACACACACACAUGUGUGUGUGGGCAUACACAUUUGUAGAAUCCUUUAAUUACAUGAGAUUUCAUGACUCAAUUCAUUGUCUUAGCGGGUCCGACAUGAGAGAAAAGUUUCACCAAAAUAAAUGCUUAUUGUGGGACUUAAGCCUCUAUCAUGAUCG